rnacentral:piRNA from 5 species
UUCAGUGGUAGAAUUCUCGCCUGCC